rnacentral:lncRNA from 1 species
CCUAAAUGCUGCAGGUUUGGCUGACGUUAGCUCCAGGAGGAUUACUCCGUUGGAAACCAUCAGCAAUGAAGUGACUCUACCAGCUCUGCCUGCUAUUAUAUCUUCUUAUUGUAAGGGACCAUACUCCCUAUGAUUCUAGGGAUCAGCACGCACCUCUCCCAGGCCUUGUCUGCUCCACCAGAAGAGGUGCUUCCAGGAAAUGAUCUCAGAUCUGGCUGUGCAUCACAAUCACUGGAAAUGUUCAUUAAAAUGCAGGGUCCUCUCGCUUCAGUAAUUCAAAGACUCUCCAGAGAAGGUUACAUAGAUGCAGGAAUCAGUCCUACUCAUCGUCACUGCUUGUCAGGGCAGUGGGAACUCAGACUCCCUCUGAGAACAGGACGAAGGACACAAUCCUUUAACGGCAAAAGGAGAAGUAAGGCCUCUGCUCUGGCUCCACUCCAAGCCAAUGUGUAUGGAUUAUUCAGAGCAGUUUGAAACCAACACCAAAGGAAAACAGAAGGUGGAGGAAUAAAGAACAAUUUUCUUUGUCCG